rnacentral:rRNA from 1 species
AGCACCUCAAGUGGUCAGGAUGAUUAUUGGGCCUAAAGCAUCCGUAGCCUGCUCUGUAAGUUUCCGGUUAAAUCCAUUAGCUCAACUAAUGGCCUGCCGGAAAUACUGCAUAGCUAGGGAGUGGGAGAGGUAGACGGUAUUCGAUAGGAAGGGGUAAAAUCCUUUGAUCUAUUGAUGACCACCAGUGGCGAAGGCGGUCUACCAGAACACGUCCGACGGUGAGGGAUGAAAGCUGGGGGAGCAAACCGG